GGAGGUAAAAGAAAAGAAACAAAGGACAAGUUCAAUAUGCAGGUUUACAAUUUGGAAGUGGCGCAGGUUCUUUGGAAUGUCUACAACCUUUCAGGAGAAUUUUUUUUGAAAAGCAUGGCACAGCAAGAAAAAGAUAUGACACUACAAGACAUUCCAAGUGAUUUUGAAUAAGACAAUUGAUUGACUUUUUCAGUGUAUUCUUAAAUAAAUCAAAUAGUUGAUGUCAAA